AUGAACGCUAGCGACAGGCCUAACACAUGCAAGUCAGGGGCAGCACAAGGAGCAAUCUGAGGUGGCGACCGGCGCACGGGUGAGUAACACGUAUGCAACCUGCCUGUAAGCGGGGAAUAACCCGUUGAAAGACGGACUAAUACCGCAUAAUACUAAAUUACUGCAUGGUAAUUUAUUUAAACAUUUAUGGCUUACAGAUGGGCAUGCGCAUGAUUAGCUAGUUGGAGAGGUAACGGCUCCCCAAGGCAACGAUCAUUAGGGGUUCUGAGAGGAAGGUCCCCCACACUGGUACUGAGACACGGACCAGACUCCUACGGGAGGCAGCAGUGAGGAAUAUUGGUCAAUGGACGAGAGUCUGAACCAGCCAAGUCGCGUGCAGGAAGAAUGUCCUAUGGAUUGUAAACUGCUUUUGCAGGGGAAUAAAGUGCAUCACGUGUGAUGUUCUGUAUGUACUCUGCGAAUAAGGAUCGGCUAACUCCGUGCCAGCCGCUGC
rnacentral:rRNA from 1 species